UAUUGGUUAAAUCAAAAUACCCUCCUGCUAUUGGUGAAGGUCUAUCAGAAUCUGCGUCAACACUGGACAUACCACAACUACUAUCAUUGGAUUUUUGGGCCUAUUAUAUUUUCAAGCUUAUACUGAUAUUGCAGAAUUUGCUCGUCCAUUUAAUAGAAGAAAACAUUGAAAGAUGCCAAAAUGUACCUCAGAGAAGAGAAAGCCAUCAGAGAAUACAGCCUCGAUAUUGGCAGGUGCAACAUAGAACUGAAAACUCAAAAUGGAGGACAGAGACAACAUGGAUACUAGUGAAGUUGCAAUACACUGCAGAUUGCUGAUUCACC
ensembl:lncRNA